AUUGAACGCUGGCGGCAGGCCUAACACAUGCAAGUCGAGCGGAUGAAGGGAGCUUGCUCCUGGAUUCAGCGGCGGACGGGUGAGUAAUGCCUAGGAAUCUGCCUGGUAGUGGGGGAUAACGUCCGGAAACGGGCGCUAAUACCGCAUACGUCCUGAGGGAGAAAGUGGGGGAUCUUCGGACCUCACGCUAUCAGAUGAGCCUAGGUCGGAUUAGCUAGUUGGUGGGGUAAAGGCCUACCAAGGCGACGAUCCGUAACUGGUCUGAGAGGAUGACCAGUCACACUGGAACUGAGACACGGUCCAGACUCCUACGGGAGGCAGCAGUGGGGAAUAUUGGACAAUGGGCGAAAGCCUGAUCCAGCCAUGCCGCGUGUGUGAAGAAGGUCUUCGGAUUGUAAAGCACUCUAAGUUGGGAGGAAGGGCAGUAAGUUAAUACCUUGCUGUUUUGACGUUACCAACAGAAUAAGCACCGGCUAACUUCGUG
rnacentral:rRNA from 1 species